rnacentral:rRNA from 1 species
UGUCAAUACUUGCAGUCGAGCGAACUGAUUAGAAGCUUGCUUCUAUGACGUUAGCGGCGGACGGGUGAGUAACACGUGGGCAACCUGCCUGUAAGACUGGGAUAACUUCGGGAAACCGAAGCUAAUACCGGAUAGGAUCUUCUCCUUCAUGGGAGAUGAUUGAAAGAUGGUUUCGGCUAUCACUUACAGAUGGGCCCGCGGUGCAUUAGCUAGUUGGUGAGGUAACGGCUCACCAAGGCAACGAUGCAUAGCCGACCUGAGAGGGUGAUCGGCCACACUGGGACUGAGACACGGCCCAGACUCCUACGGGAGGCAGCAGUAGGGAAUCUUCCGCAAUGGACGAAAGUCUGACGGAGCAACGCCGCGUGAGUGAUGAAGGCUUUCGGGUCGUAAAACUCUGUUGUUAGGGAAGAACAAGUACGAGAGUAACUGCUCGUACCUUGACGGUACCUAACCAGAAAGCCACGGCUAACUACGUGCCAGCAGCCGCGGUAAUACGUAGGUGGCAAGCGUUAUCCGGAAUUAUUGGGCGUAAAGCGCGCGCAGGCGGUUUCUUAAGUCUGAUGUGAAAGCCCACGGCUCAACCGUGGAGGGUCAUUGGAAACUGGGGAACUUGAGUGCAGAAGAGAAAAGCGGAAUUCCACGUGUAGCGGUGAAAUGCGUAGAGAUGUGGAGGAACACCAGUGGCGAAGGCGGCUUUUUGGUCUGUAACUGACGCU